UACGGAGGGAGCUAGCGUUGUUCGGAAUUACUGGGCGUAAAGCGCACGUAGGCGGCUUUGUAAGUUAGAGGUGAAAGCCCAGGGCUCAACCCUGGAAUUGCCUUUAAGACUGCAUCGCUUGAACAUCGGAGAGGUAAGUGGAAUUCCGAGUGUAGAGGUGAAAUUCGUAGAUAUUCGCAAGAACACCAGUGGCGAAGGCGGCUCACUGGCCCGGUACUGACGCUGAGGUGCGAAAGCGUGGGGAGCAAACAGG
rnacentral:rRNA from 1 species